rnacentral:sRNA from 1 species
CAAAAACCGCAGCCCGACUUAAGUGGAAAUCCUUUUUUUGUAUUUUAAAAAAAGAUUGGGAACGGAAGGCGGAAAUGUCU